rnacentral:lncRNA from 1 species
UCAGCUUGCAGGUGAUUUUUCUUUGUUUUGGUUUUCCUCUAUCAGCUUCUAUUACUCAUAUGUACAUCUGUUGGUUUGCUAUGUGUAAUGGUUUCUUCUCUUUAUUCUGUCACGCAUGCGUGAAGGCAUGGAGUGGAUGGAAAAGGGGAGAUAACUUCAAGAAGAAAAGGUAAUGUAAAAAUUAUUUGGGAUCUGAAACAUAACAGUAACCAGAUUCUUCAAUACCUCAGAUCACUAUUAUUUCUGUUGUGUGAUUUCAUUUUUGUGAAUACAAGUGGUUUGUCUCCUCAGAUAAAGAAAUUCAUUCUCCAAACCCAGGCUCUUUACUCGUAUAUUUGUCUAUCAGGGAAUUGAACACCACGGUUGCAGGCACAUAUGUGCCAAAUGCAUGAUGGAUGGUAGAAAUGUUGAGUGUCUCGUGAGUACAGUCCUUU